GAAGAACUCGUAGCGACGAAGUGGGGGUGGUGAUUUGAUUUUCCACAGCGAUGGUUAAGCUUUUGAUCUCUGCUGAUGCAUGCCUCUCCUUAUUUGAUAUCUUGGAGAAGGAGUCCUUCGAUCUCCUUUGUGGUUGUUGGUUGCUGCAACGAUUAAGGUUCAUGAGCUUCUCGGGAAGACGAAGGCGGAGCUGCAGAAUCAGUUGAAGGACCUGGAGAUUGAGCUCUUCCUCCUCCGCGUCGCUAAGGUGACCGGUGUGGCGCGCCCAACAAGCUCUCGAAGAUAAAGGAUGCGAGACUGUCAUAGCGCGUGUGCUUACUGUGGUCUGACAGAAGCAGAGAGCUGCGCGGAGGGAGGCUUACAAGAAUAAGAAGCUUCUUCCGUUGGAUCUCCGCCCCAAGAUGACUCGUGCCAUCCGCAACCGGCUCAAAAGCAUCAGGGGUUUCAUUGUGCCCUUGAUUAGGCAACGUGCUUUGGCAUGCCAUUUCUCACACGUGAGUCAAGAUGCUAAUGCCGAGCAUCAUUUGAUAUUUAGAGUGUAUGUAAUUGUAUUUUAAGUGAUUAUUCACUUUCUAAUCUGUUGUUUAUCUAGAGUAUAUAUCCAUGCUUCCCUUUUUUUGUUGAUUGUUGCCCACAGGGAGCAAAUUCAUGAUAAUUUUUUUUUGCUUGUUAUAUGUUAUGUAUUUUUAAUUGGGUAGCAAAUCCAGCACAUUCUUAAUAGUAUCCAUGACACUUUUUUUGCUUGAGUUUUAUGUUUGUCAUUUGUGAUUUAUCAAUUUUAAACAUUGUUAGGUAAGAAGCUAAAAAAUUAAGAUAAAUUUACUACAAUUUAAAUAACCUAAUUAUUGAAAAAAAUAAUCAUAUGGCUUGCGUGAUCAUCAGAGAUACAAAGGAGUCAAAUUGAUAGAUUAUGUCAUGUGGAAUUAAUAGUAUGAAGAAGAAAAAUGAUAUGCUCAAGGAAAUACUCAAGGAUAAACACAUAAAAUGAUGGGACCCACAAAAAAGUGAAAUAGUAGGCCAUGAAUUUAUGUGUCAAUCUUUGAGUAUUUCCUUGAGAUUUUUCCUUGCGCAUAUCAUUGCUCUAUGAAGAAUUAGUUAAAAAAACAACCCUUAGAAAUAGAUUUUCUAAGGAGAUUUUUGCGAAGUUGAAAGUAUAAAGUAUAUGCAUGAAUUUAUUGUAUAUAAAUGAAUGCUAGAUUUAUUAAAUCUCAGUACUUUGUUCUAGGUUUUGAAGAUAUCCUUAAUUAUAUCAGAAACUGUACUCAACAAUCAUUUGAAUUUAAGAUCUAUAGCAAGAACCAAAUUGUUAUAAAAGAUGUGCGAAGAUUCAAUUUUAUUGUGUUGUGAAUCUUAUUUCUGUUGUUGCCUUCAUUAAUGUGCUUGAGAAGGUCAUUGUUGUACCUUAUUCACUCCAAUCCAAUACUCGUUUGCUCAUCAUUGUUGUAUUGAAAGAUGGAACACUGAGAAUGUGACUUGUUACUUAUUAUCUAAUUGUUAUUCUUGUGCUGUUUAUCAGCUGCAUAUGAAAAGGAUAGUCACAUUUUCUUGGAUCGUUUGCCAUCUGUCCUGCGGCAUGUAAAUUGUUGAUCUCUGCUCCAUCUUCGGCACUGUCAUCCGUAGUACAUCCUCACAAUAUGUUCUCCAAUGCUAAUCCUCUAUUUUCAUUGCCUCUUUGAGUAGCCAUGUGGCGGCGAAAGCCCUAGUACCAUCUGGCUUAGUUAGGGGGCGCACAGAAAAGUUAAGUUUCUUCCUUUGAAGCUUUUGUGGGGAGACCAUCACUCAACUCCAUGUGGUAUCCCCCAAUCUGCCUUGGACAUUAUUUUUUUUUAAAAAAAACUAAUCCUGUAUUUAGCGUUUCAGCACAUAAUUAUCAUCUGUUAAGGACUAGCUGGUGUUUCCUUGGUAAGAACUAACCCAAUGGCAGCAAAAGCCCUAGUACCAUCUUCUCUUUGAGUAGCCUUGUGGCAGCAAAAGCUCUUCUGCCAUCUGGCCUAGCUAGGGGUGGACAGAAAAAGUCAAGGUUUCUCCUUAUGGCACCUUUUUGAGGGGACUCCACUUAUCUUCGUGUGGUUUCCCCAAGCAGCCUCAGAAACACUCAGAUGGAAAAAAAAAAUACAAUUUUUUGUAUGAGUUUUCCCCCUGCUUUUUCUUUCAACAGUUUGUCUCGUUGGUAGGAAACAUGGCCUUGAGGAUUAGGAUGUUUUACCUUGGUCGGGAAUUAGUCCUGUGUUUUCAUUGCCUCCUUGAGUAGCCAUGUGGUGGCGAAAGCUCCAGAGUGCCAUCUGACUUAGUUAAGGGGUGCACAUAAAAGGAAGGUUUCUUCCUAUGAGGCCGUUUGAGGGGACUCUCACUCAUCUCUCCAUGUGGUAUCCCUCAAGCAGCCUUGUACAUAAUUUAAAAAUAAGACACUAUUCUUGCAUUUAGCCACUCAGUUCUUAAUUUUCAUACGAUUAUAACAUUGUUAUAUUGUUAUGAUGCUAUUUGGGGUUACCUUCUCAUCUAUUGAGUGCUCAACUGAGGGCUUCGGCCUCUGGUUGUAACUGGAAAUUAAUAAGCCGGUAGACUGGAAUCAAAAGUGCCAGUUUCUUGGAUUGAAACCAAUUGGAUUUUCUUUUCCAUGCAGGCCCUGAAUAUAGCAAUUUUCUUUCGUGGCCUAGAAAUAUUUUAGUAUAGUGAACAAGAAAUUUUCCAGCAAAUGUGCCUGUGUCUGGAUUUUUUCCCCAUUGUUGUUUGUUUUUCAUUUACAAAAAAAAACUAACGUUCGAUUCCAAACAACUGCAAGUACUUCUUCAUGUCACGAACUAUGCACUUGAUCCAUUUCUUAUCACUAGGAUUUGUUCAAAAAUUUUUGGCUUGUUUAUCACUAGGAUUCCACUUGUUGAUCCAUUUCUUGUUCGUUGAUAUGUUUGCACUUGAUCUGAUUGAUCACUCAUUUUUGGAGAGGAGAUUCUAGUUUUGUGGAAAGCUUCUCCGUACCUGCCACAUCAUUGUUCUUCACCAUCCUCCCGAUGACCCCAACGAAAAGAUCCAACACCAGUAUUCUUGCAGCUGGUAAAAGUUUAGUGUCUUUCCCAUUGGAGAUUCACUUGAUACGUGGCUAAAUUGGAUCCAGUGCAUGAUCAAGUAAAUGUAAUAUUUUUUUAUAUCGUGUAAAUUUCGUUUAUUAAUUUUUUUUUACGCUUCUUUUCAUAUAUUCGAUUAAUUUGUUUGACGUCUGUCACAUUUUAAUAAAAAAAAGCUCUUUUAUUUUUAUUUGUUUUAA